UGACCCAUUUUUAGAAGAAAAAAAAGUGCCUAGACGUAGGUUCAGAAACUUUUCACUAAAAUGAACAGAUUUGAAUUUAAAAUAAAUUUAAAGAGAAACUAACGUCUGUCGUUGGUAUUUGGGCAGCCCCAUUGAGAGUGAUUGGCAUUGGCGUUGCAGCCUAUUAACAAACCUGUCUUAAGUUUUUUACAUUCUUUUGCCAGCCCUCUGCCCAGCGCGUGCUUCUCAAAGGCCAUGUAGGCCGAUAGCAGCCUAAUGGCGCCAGGCUGUAGCUACAGACUUACCGCUGAAUUAUCUCAGCUACUUUUAUUACGAAGCAUAAGUAAACUAAGAUGCCGUUUGGCCAAUAUGCAGUUUCGGAUUUUACCGUUUUUGGGUUCAAGCAUAAACUUGUAUUUAUUUGUUCCUAGUCCAGCAGGCAGUUUUACGUCAUUGGAGUCGCCCUUAUACACUAUAAUAUGUAUUGCACUGAAGCCAUAGAUGAGCACCACAAUUGCCUGAAUUAUGUCACUGGGGAUGUCGCACCACUGUAGUGCAAUGAUUUUUGUUCCUUCGUAGACCUCUCCUACAGGGCUGAUGCCUGUUUAUAUAAGUCAGGCGUGUCAUCUUUUUUCGUUGUUCUGGUUAGUUCUGAAAUGGGUGGCAGUGUUACUGAUAGCAAUCUCCAAAUUUGACUUCUGUCCACAGUAAGCCCAAGCCUGCAGCAGAGUUUAUAACUGGAGUCCCGUCCAGAGUAAGGUGAUAACUGUUGAACCUGUUUAAUACAAAGGUAGCACGCUGAGACAUGGUAGGACUAGCGGCAAUAUUCCAUCUCGCCACUAAAGUUUCGAACUCGUUGAACAUGUCCUGGACCAUACCGCAUCUCGUCGCAGAGCAAUCUUCGCAAGAAACGCAGUUUUCCAAAGUAUCAGCAAAUUUGUUAGCUACCUCACUAUCUUUAUUUGCCGAAGUACCGUCCGAUCGAAGCAGGGAAAACUUCUGAAGACGCUGUUGCUUACAUUGGCUAAUAUUUUUCGGACAGAUAAAGUCCUUGCUAAAUAUAUUUGGUUUUCUCAAACGUCAAUGUGAGUGCUAAUUCUGAAAAGGACUCAGGCUACCUGCUUAGUUUUUUUUGGCUCGAUAAAAUUACAAAAAUUCUGGAAUGUGAGCGAGUGUUGAAAUGCAUUUUGUUUAUUAGCAUAAAAUCAAUU